rnacentral:rRNA from 1 species
CGAAAGCCUGACGGAGCAACGCCGCGUGUGGGAAGAAGGCUCUUGGGCUGUCAACCACUUUUCUCAGGGAAGAAGAUCUGACGGUACCUGAGGAAUCAGCCUCGGCUAACUCCGUGCCAGCAGCCGCGGUAAUACGGAGGAGGCAAGCGUUAUCCGGAAUCAUUGGGCGUAAAGCGUUCGUAGGCGGCUGUUCAAGUCUGCUGUCAAAGACCGAGGCCCAACCUCGGGUCGGCAGUGGAAACUGGAUAGCUAGAGGUCGGUAGGGGUAGAGGGAAUUCCCGGUGUAGCGGUGAAAUGCGUAGAGAUCGGGAAGAACAUCGGUGGCGAAAGCGCUCUACUGGACGGCAACUGACACUCAGGGACGAAAGCUAGGGGAGCG